rnacentral:rRNA from 1 species
AUGCUGUCCGCGUCCCUGAAGACGCCGCCCUCCCUCGCGGCGCUCUCCCCGUCCGCCUGCGGCCCCGUGCCGGCCGCCUCCUUCCCGCCCCUUCUUCCCAGCCGCGGCCGCUUCCGCCUCUCGGCGGCCGCGUCCGAAGGCGCCACCGUCAGCCAGGAGGACGAUGCGUUCGAGGAGGCGCGCCUGGCCCAGUUCGCGGCGGACUGGAAGGCUGUGCGCGCGGACAAGGACCAGGGGAAGAUCCUCACACUGCCCGUGCUGCGGUCAAACACCGGUGGAAUCAUCCUCAAGUACAACUCCAUGCAGGGCUUCAUGCCCAACCCUCUCCUCAGCCCUGCCCAUUGGUGUAAAGAUCCCAAAAGGCCCAUUCAAGAUGUUACAAAGGACCUAGUAGAUUCCUUUGUUUCUGUCAAGGUCGCGGCGACCACCAAGAAGACACCCAACACCCGCAUCCCAAACUACCCGAGCCUGCCGUCGCAGCUGCUAUGUCAAGUCCACAACAUCACCAUGCAUGCUGGCAAGGACACUGACGAGGUCUACUCACAGAUGACUCCGCAACCAGUAAACUCUAAGCUCAAGGUGAAGAAGGCCAUCGAGAAGGGCAACACCGACAGCGCCCAGAUCUAUUGA